UGAAUACGAGAUGCUACGGCGUCGAAGCAGUCUAUGUCAUACUUCCAAGAAAAGCUUGCACUGUCAUAAACAAAUAAUGCCUGUACCAUAACCGACACAGGUGGGUAGGUAGAGUAUACUAAGGGGCGCGAGAUAACUCUCUCUAAGGAACUCGGCAAAAUGACUCCGUAACUUCGGGAGAAGGAGUGCCUUAUUUAUAAGGUUGCAAUAACAAGAUCCAAGCAACUGUUUACCAAAAACACAGGUCUCCGCUAAGUCGUAAGACGAUGUAUGGGGGCUGACGCCUGCCCAGUGCCAGAAGGUUAAAGAAGUUGGUUAGCAUCCGCGAAGCUGAUAACUGAAGCCCUGGUGAACGGCGGCCGUAACGAUAACGGUCCUAAGGUAGCGAAAUUCCUUGUCGGGUAAGUUCCGACCCGCACGAAAGGCGUAAUGAUUUGGAUACUGUCUCGGAGAGGGGCUCGGUGAAAUAGACUUGUCUGUGAAGAUGCGGACUACCUGCACCAGGACAGAAAGACCCUAUGAAGCUUUACUGUAACCUGAAAUUGAAAUUGGACUUUACUUGCGCAGUAUAGGUGGGAGGCGUUGAGAAUAUUCUUGCGGGAUUAUUGGAGCCAUCAGUGAGAUACCGCUCUUGUAAUGUUAGAUUUCUAACUUUGUAUCAUUAUCUGGUCAAAGAACAGUUUCAGGCGGGCAGUUUGACUGGGGCGGUCGCCUCCUAAACGGUAACGGAGGCGCACAAAGGUUUCCUCUGAACGGGUAGAAAUCGUAUCUAGAGUGUAAAGGCAUAAGGAAGCUUGACUGUGAGACCUACAAGUCGAGCAGGGACGAAAGUCGGUCUUAGUGAUCUGACGGUGCUGAGUGGAAAGGCCGUCACUCAACGGAUAAAAGUUACUCUAGGAUAACAGGCUGAUCUCCCCCAAGAGUUCACAUCGACGGGGAGGUUUGGCACCUCGAUGUCGGCUCAUCGCAUCCUGGGGCGGUAGUACGUCCCAAGGGUUGGGCUGUUCGCCCAUGAAAGCGGUACGCGAGCUGGGUUCAGAACGUCGUGAGACAGUUCGGUCCAUAUCCGGUGUAGGCGUUAGAAUAUUGAGAGGAGCCUUCUUUAGUACGAGAGGACCGAGAAGGACAUACCUCUGGUGUACCAGUUAUCGUGCCAACGGUAAACGCUGGGUAGCUAUGUGUGGAGUGGAUAACCGCUGAAAGCAUCUAAGUGGGAAGCCCACCUCAAGAUAAG
rnacentral:rRNA from 1 species